ACGGAAGGCAGCAGUGAGGAAUAUUGGUCAAUGGACGGAAGUCUGAACCAGCCAAGUCGCGUGAAGGAUGAAGGUAUUAUGUAUUGUAAACUUCUUUAGCAGUGGAGUAAUAAGGGGAUCGUGAUCCCUGAUGCAAGUACACUGAGAAUAAGGAUCGGCUAACUCCGUGCCAGCAGCCGCGGUAAUACGGAGGAUCCGAGCGUUAUCCGGAUUUAUUGGGUUCAAAGGGUGCGCAGGCGGCUUUUUAAGUCAGUGGUUAAAUCGUGACGCUCAACGUCAUCACGCCAUUGAUACUGGAGAGCUUGAUUGCGGUCGAGGUUUGCGGAAUUCGUUGUGUAGCGGUGAAAUGCAUAGAUAUGACGAAGAACACCGAUUGCGUAGGCAGCAGACCAGGCCGUAAAUGACGCUCAUGCACGAAAGUGCGGGGAUCGAACAGGAUUAGAUACCCUGGUA
rnacentral:rRNA from 1 species